GUACACUCCUGCGGGAGGCAGCAGUGGGGAAUAUUGGACAAUGGGCGCAAGCCUGAUCCAGCCAUGCCGCGUGAGUGAUGAAGGCCCUAGGGUUGUAAAGCUCUUUCACCGGUGAAGAUAAUGACGGUAACCGGAGAAGAAGCCCCGGCUAACUUCGUGCCAGCAGCCGCGGUAAUACGAAGGGGGCUAGCGUUGUUCGGAUUUACUGGGCGUAAAGCGCACGUAGGCGGACUAUUAAGUCAGGGGUGAAAUCCCGGGGCUCAACCCCGGAACUGCCUUUGAUACUGGUAGUCUUGAGUUCGAGAGAGGUGAGUGGAAUUCCGAGUGUAGAGGUGAAAUUCGUAGAUAUUCGGAGGAACACCAGUGGCGAAGGCGGCUCACUGGCUCGAUACUGACGCUGAGGUGCGAAAGCGUGGGGAGCAAACAGGAUUAGAAACCCUAGUAGUCCCA
rnacentral:rRNA from 1 species